rnacentral:lncRNA from 1 species
AUUGUGUGUAUGGAAUCUAUUUGUGCCAGAAGGGAAUUACAUACGGUUUCAUUCCUCCCACUUUUUCUGGCCAGAAACAUUCAGUGACUAUGAUUCUUUAUCAGUCUAUUCAAAGAUGACAGACUCGUGGGGAAAUUCUGUGGAGGAGAUAUUCCAUUACCUCUUUUGAUUGGCUCCAAUAGCAUAAGGCUGAAAUUUGUUUCUAAUGAUGAGGAUUAUGGAACUGGUUUUUCCAUUACCUACAAAGCUCUUACAUCAGAUAUUCUUCCUGGUAAGUAUAAGCCAAGUAAUGUGCCUGCCUACACUCCUGGGUGGGGACCUGGAAAAAAAUGUCAAGAGAAAAUAAACCAGAGGAAACUCCUGUGUUAUUUUUGUGUGGAUGAUGCUUUCAUGGGGGGACCUUGAGGGAGGCAGCUGAAGCUUAAACACAUCCUGGAGAAUUGUGUUUGGUUUUUCUGUGCACAGCAGUUCACCAGCCAUAAGGAUGGGCCCAAGGGGCCACCUGCUGAGUCUUAAAAGAACUCCUGAUGUUCCUGUUCUGACAGCAUUUCCAGCUGGUGCUUUCCUUUCCAUUUUUGUCUGCCUGGAUUUCCAGCUGCUGGCUGUGAGUCCCUCCUUGAAGAAGGAGUGUUGGAGAGUGUGCACUACCCAGAGCACUACAGCAACCUGGCAGGCUGUCAGUGGAUCUGUGCUCCAGAGGACCACGUAGUUAAGGCAUAACAUGAAUCCUUUUUGUGUCUACAUGAUGGAAAUGGGCACCACUCAGUUUACAAGAAGUGACGCAGCUAAGGACAAACAAGAUCAAGCAAUAUGAGCAUCAAUGAUGCUGCUGGAUGCAGUUAAGAAGAAUCACUAUCCAUCCCAAAAGACAGACAGUUGAGUCUUGUGGAUUUGCCCUACCAGCACCUGCUCCAAGCUCCUCUGCUGUGAUGCUGGUUGUCUCCCACCCUGAUGAAACAGAGACCUUUGGAGGAUUCAGAGCUACAGUCUCCUUUGUUCAUCGAACAGGGAACAGAAAACUAGAUAGAAACUUGGAAAAAUGCCUCCUUGGGGCAGCAUAAAGGGCUCUUCAGUGGAUUGGCUGUUCAUAAUUAUUUUGCUCUAGGAGAGUCUCAUCUAACAAAUUGUUUCAGUGAAAAAACAGGCAUUAAACAAAGGCCUGAUGAGUGGUGAAGACAAAAAAUGAAUCUGGCCAACACCUGGAAGUUGUGUUUGUGGCACAUUUUAAAGAGCACUUUAAUACUAUAAUAGCACACAUCCCUACAACAGAAAACUCUUUCUUCUACAAAAAUAUAUAAGGAAACAAAAAUUAUUCUAUAAUACGAAUAUUACUCAAGACAUCCUGCUAACACACUCACCACCCUCAUUUGCUAGAUUUAAAUAUUUUGAAUUCAACUAAAGAAGUUUUUGAAAACCUGAAUAUUACUGAAGAAGAAAUAAAGCUAGUAACAGGUAAGACA